GCCUAGUUAGCUUGGAGGGCAGAGCGUCUGUCUUGUAAGCGCUAGGCCGCGGGUUCGAUUCCCGCCCGGGGCG
rfam:Asian citrus Psyllid, Diaphorina citri - Florida Strain, whole genome shotgun sequence.